rnacentral:rRNA from 1 species
UAUUAUUUCAAGUGUGAAUAUUUUUACCUGGGUAUUAUUAGUUAAGGUCUUUAAACCCAAAGAAUUUGGCGGUAUUUUAUUCCAUUCAGGGGAACCUGUCUCAUAAUUGAUAGUACACGAUUUACUUUACUUAAUUUAUUUGUUUGUAUAUCUCCGUUAUCAGAAAAUCUUUUUGGAGUAAUAAUUUUCUUGUUUUUUUAUUAAAAUUUAUUUCAGGUCAAGGUGCAGCUUAUAAUUAAGUUGAUGAUGGGUUACAAUAAAUUUUUGUUUAUUAUGUAUUUAAUUUUGAAAUUUUUUAAUGAAGGUGGAUUUGAUAGUAAUUUAAUUUAUUUAUUUUAAUUGAAAUUGGCUCUGGAAUGUGUACACAUCGCCCC